ensembl:lncRNA
CCAGACUUUCCCCAUCAGUAGGUCUGUGUGGGACCUGAAGUUUCGCAUUCCUAGCAAGCUGGCAGGUAAUGUGGCGCUGCUGACGUGGGGAGGACACUUUGAGAACCGAUACCCUCAGACAAAAGCCUCUUUCUUAGACUGACUCUCCUGUAUCUUAAGAACAUGAGUUUCAGUACAGAGAGGAGUCACCCAACAAGCUGACAGCAGAGCAGGUGAUGUCAAGUUCUAUUCAUUUCAAGACACGCGCUACAAAGCCGAGCCCACUUCCUAAGCUGGAUUCUGGGAAAGAAUCAAGGCUGUCCUGAGUGAAGGGAAAGGCGUAGCUGGGGGAUUGAGGAGUUCCAGUUUCUGCUGUUUAUUAGAUCACCUGUGUCUCAGGCUGUCACACAGCUGGUGUGAUCUCUCUGGUCUCUAUCAGUAGCUUUUCAGAAAAGCCUUAUGCCUCUUGGGCCACUCCAGGUUGGGGAAAAUCUCAUGGACAGAGCACUUUGUUUUUCAGUUCUGCCAUCUAUACUGUCAUUUCAAGUUGGCAAUUUUAAUGACCAUGAAUAAUAAUGAGGAUACAAUACACAAUUUGGAUGGGACCUCCUUGCCACCCUGUCCUUUGUGUUCUUUCUUGUGCUUUGAGUGGUAAAGAGGGGAGUAGAUUGGUACCAGUUGCGCAUUUUAGUGGUGGAAACUCCCAUUCAUUGAGGGAUAAUAACACUAGUACUGAGCAUUAUUAUUGUUUGGCAGGAACAGAUGGGUGUUGCCAGCUCUUUAAAAGCAGCCAUGAUGCACAGGUAGACUAGGACAGCCAAGUUAGCAGGUCCGAGCUCCCUUUCUGACUUGCUGUGACCUUACUUUCUGUAAUAUCAUCCAUUGACCCAGAUCCCCAUCCUUACCUCUUGCUUCAAUCCUUGGCUUCUUCUAUUCUGGGACUCUCCUAUUC